UUUUCUUUUCAUACAUAGGAAUUAAGUAUAUUGCAGGUAAGAUACAGAUAGCUAAUUGUUACAUGAUUAUGCUUGAAUUGUGUAAUGUUUAAAAUGUCACUCAUCUAGUACCUGACUUUUAUUUCUUUAUUUUGGAAUAGGCGAUGGAAAUCAAAAGGAAAAUACUGUCACAGGAAACAGAAAUAAAAAAUUAGAAGUAUUAACAUCUCUGGGAACGUAUAUGAAUAUAAUAGCAGAACAGGUGCAAGAAAGUGGAAGAAGACCUCCAGGCACCAGAAGGAGCCCUUGGCAAACAUACAUUCCCUCCUAGAGGUCCAUCCUUUAGAGGAGUCCACAUCCUUAAGAAUUCAUUUGCAAGGAUAGCAUUUUUCCAGCGCCUGAAUGAUUGCUUUUUUGUGUAUAUGAUUGUCACAGGCAGUUUUUCUUGGCUACCUAAAAUUAUAGACAUGAGGCCAGCUGCUUUGUCUGUGUUUAUAGCUUUCUGUGGUCUUCCAUUUCAGGGUGUCUGUGUGAAGGCGGCAGGAGUGGUGAGCUUUGAAUCUCUGAACAUGUUUUGCUGAAAACGAGAUACUAAAUUGACAUAUGUUCAUUGUCUUACUUUGCCCAGUAGAGUGUAUGCUUUUUAAGAUCAGAGACUAUUUUGCUCACUGCUUUAGCCCCAGUACAUGUUUGGCAGAGAGUGGGGACUCUGUAUACAUUUGUGAAUAAAUAAAUUUGAAUAUAU
rnacentral:lncRNA from 1 species